rnacentral:rRNA from 2 species
AGAGUUUGAUCAUGGCUCAGAUUGAACGCUGGCGGCAGGCUUAACACAUGCAAGUCGAGCGGUAGCACAGGGGAGCUUGCUCCCUGGGUGACGAGCGGCGGACGGGUGAGUAAUGUCUGGGAAACUGCCUGAUGGAGGGGGAUAACUACUGGAAACGGUAGCUAAUACCGCAUAACGUCGCAAGACCAAAGAGGGGGACCUUCGGGCCUCUUGCCAUCAGAUGUGCCCAGAUGGGAUUAGCUAGUAGGUGGGGUAAUGGCUCACCUAGGCGACGAUCCCUAGCUGGUCUGAGAGGAUGACCAGCCACACUGGAACUGAGACACGGUCCAGACUCCUACGGGAGGCAGCAGUGGGGAAUAUUGCACAAUGGGCGCAAGCCUGAUGCAGCCAUGCCGCGUGUGUGAAGAAGGCCUUCGGGUUGUAAGGCACUUUCAGCGAGGAGGAAGGUGGUGAGCUUAAUACGCUCAUCAAUUGACGUUACUCGCAGAAGAAGCACCGGCUAACUCCGUGCCAGCAGCCGCGGUAAUACGGAGGGUGCAAGCGUUAAUCGGAAUUACUGGGCGUAAAGCGCACGCAGGCGGUUUGUUAAGUCAGAUGUGAAAUCCCCGGGCUCAACCUGGGAACUGCAUUUGAAACUGGCAAGCUAGAGUCUCGUAGAGGGGGGUAGAAUUCCAGGUGUAGCGGUGAAAUGCGUAGAGAUCUGGAGGAAUACCGGUGGCGAAGGCGGCCCCCUGGACGAAGACUGACGCUCAGGUGCGAAAGCGUGGGGAGCAAACAGGAUUAGAUACCCUGGUAGUCCACGCUGUAAACGAUGUCGAUUUGGAGGUUGUGCCCUUGAGGCGUGGCUUCCGGAGCUAACGCGUUAAAUCGACCGCCUGGGGAGUACGGCCGCAAGGUUAAAACUCAAAUGAAUUGACGGGGGCCCGCACAAGCGGUGGGGCAUGUGGUUUAAUUCGAUGCAACGCGAAGAACCUUACCUACUCUUGACAUCCAGAGAACUUUCCAGAGAUGGAUUGGUGCCUUCGGGAACUCUGAGACAGGUGCUGCAUGGCUGUCGUCAGCUCGUGUUGUGAAAUGUUGGGUUAAGUCCCGCAACGAGCGCAACCCUUAUCCUUUGUUGCCAGCGGUUCGGCCGGGAACUCAAAGGAGACUGCCAGUGAUAAACUGGAGGAAGGUGGGGAUGACGUCAAGUCAUCAUGGCCCUUACGAGUAGGGCUACACACGUGCUACAAUGGCGUAUACAAAGAGAAGCGACCUCGCGAGAGCAAGCGGACCUCAUAAAGUACGUCGUAGUCCGGAUUGGAGUCUGCAACUCGGCUCCAUGAAGUCGGAAUCGCUAGUAAUCGUAGAUCAGAAUGCUACGGUGAAUACGUUCCCGGGCCUUGUACACACCGCCCGUCACACCAUGGGAGUGGGUUGCAAAAGAAGUAGGUAGCUUAACCUUCGGGAGGGCGCUUACCACUUUGUGAUUCAUGACUGGGGUGAAGUCGUAACAAGGUAACCGUAGGGGAACCUGCGGUUGGAUCACCUCCUU